rnacentral:rRNA from 1 species
UAGGGAAUCUUCCGCAAUGGGCGAAAGCCUGACGGAGCAACGCCGCGUGAGUGAUGAAGGUCUUCGGAUCGUAAAACUCUGUUAUUAGGGAAGAACAAAUGUGUAAGUAACUAUGCACGUCUUGACGGUACCUAAUCAGAAAGCCACGGCUAACUACGUGCCAGCGGCCGCGGUAAUACGUAGGUGGCAAGCGUUAUCCGGAAUUAUUGGGCGUAAAGCGCGCGUAGGCGGUUUUUUAAGUCUGAUGUGAAAGCCCACGGCUCAACCGUGGAGGGUCAUUGGAAACUGGAAAACUUGAGUGCAGAAGAGGAAAGUGGAAUUCCAUGUGUAGCGGUGAAAUGCGCAGAGAUAUGGAGGAACACCAGUGGCGAAGGCGACUUUCUGGUCUGUAACUGACGCUGAUGUGCGAAAGCGUGGGGAUCAAACAGG